CAUAGGUUAAUGAGGCGAACCGGGGGAACUGAAACAUCUAAGUACCCCGAGGAAAAGAAAUCAACCGAGAUUCCCCCAGUAGCGGCGAGCGAACGGGGAGCAGCCCAGAGCCUGAAUCAGUGUGUGUGUUAGUGGAAGCGUCUGGAAAGGCGCGCGAUACAGGGUGACAGCCCCGUACACAAAAAUGCACAUACUGUGAGCUCGAUGAGUAGGGCGGGACACGUGGUAUCCUGUCUGAAUAUGGGGGGACCAUCCUCCAAGGCUAAAUACUCCUGACUGACCGAUAGUGAACCAGUACCGUGAGGGAAAGGCGAAAAGAACCCCGGCGAGGGGAGUGAAAAAGAACCUGAAACCGUGUACGUACAAGCAGUGGGAGCACAGAGCAAUC
rnacentral:rRNA from 1 species